UCAAUAUCCUACCGGCUUCAUCUAUCGUCGUUGAAAAAGGCAGAGUUGGAAGUUAAAAAGAUCACUGUUAUAACCUCUCUAUCUGACUACUCCAACGCUUGUUCGGCGGUACAUAUACUAAAAUUGGAACGAUACAGAGAUGAUUAGCAUGGCCCCUGCGCAAGGAUGACACGCAAAAUCGUGAAGCGUUCCAUACUCCAAUGUCAGAUAAUCAACCUAAGUAAAUUCUACCCUACUCGAUUAUCCACCUUGUCAUAGUUUUUAACAUUGAGGUGGAAGCUACUUAUUCUCCCAAUCUACAAAGAUGUAAAUCAUUCAUGGCAAUACUUUCCUACUUCAAUGUUUAUUCACCUUUCAGUUUAACGCCUUCGAAUUGAUAUUUGUAAAAUGGAUUCAUGUUAACUUUACAAACUCGACGGCAACACCUUAACGUUACCUCGACAAGCACAUAUAUACAGACACUCUAUACCAAAAAUGGAACUGGCAACAAAUGCGAUGAUUGUUUAUCUCGAGUUCCUAUAUAAUUCAAGGUAAUCAUCAAAUAUGAAUGGCAAUAAACAACGAAAUACAUGAUUCAAUAAAUUAAAUAUCGAAAGAUAUGUUUAAUGUGACUAGAUCAGAACAGCAAAUAAGGAAGCAUUUUCGAAAAUAUAAAGGAACUUAAAGAGAAUCCAGAUAAUUCAUAUUGAAUAUACAAACUCUCCAAGACACGGUGUUCUAUGUAAAGAAUAGCGAGUUACAAAAUUCCUUCAAAACAAUCCUUAAAGGAAAUUUAUCAAACACAUAUUAGGGCGCAUAGACAAAGAAAUUUCACAUAAUUCAAGAACAUAUGAAUCGUGUGUUAAAAACAAAUCUUCCAAAGGUGCUCGUUAUAUAUCCCUGGGAUGAACCUAAAGAAAAUUGGGAUCAUAUUGUAGCGAAAAAUAAAUUUUAUAAUUUAUUUUAUUAUUUAAUUAAUCAAUGAAAAUACACAGCACACAGAAUAUAACGGUGUAUUUAUGGAAUCAUCAUGUAUGUUCCAUAGCUUGUUUGUUCAAUAUUCUCUAGAUGUAAAUAAUUGGUUAGUUGAAUUGGAGUCGCCUAGUCGUGUUGAGGCGUAAUGAAUAAAUAAUAUUUUACUUCAUCAUUGAUCUGUCAUCCAAUAUACUACGUUACAAUAUACAUAUAGAUUGUCCAGAGCCAUUUACCAUCACUAUUUGUUUGAUGGUUGUCAAGCCAAAAUCGAGAAAUGUAAUAAGUAAAAAUGUCUCGAAAAAUAUUUAUAGCUCUCUAUUCAAUUAUUCUUCUAUCAUUAUUAUAAUAAUUAAUAGUGCAGACUAUUGACAAGAUGCCAAUAAAAUUAUAUUAAUUUUGAAUUGUUUUCGGAGAUUUUUGACAUUCAUGGAUAACGCCAUGUAAUGGCUUCCGACAAUCCUACUAUUUCUGUUAGUAAUUAAUUCAUAUCAUUUAGUACAUAAAAUGGUAUUUUAAAAAAUGCACCCGCGCGGACAUCCAGAUACAAAACCUAACCUGAAAAUCGAAUAAAUUUGAAGAAAAAAGAACUUAUGUUUAUAUAUAGGCAUACCAAGGUACGGGAAGUUAUUUUCCGAUAGCGAGCCACUCCAUUAUCUAAUAACAAGACUGAUCCAUACAAAUCCAACUUGACGCAAUUCUGACCACGCAAUAAAGUCAAUACAAUUAAGCGUAGGAGAAAUAGUUCAAUAUUCCAUCAAGCAGUUUGACAAAUUCAAUCCUAGGUUCCUGGAACUCAGCAACCUACAGUGUAAGUUGGACCAGAGUCUACAACGUCCGAGAUCCAGGAAACCAUUUCCCCCAGAACCAGAUCCUAUAAGUCUAAAACGUCAGCCUACUUGAAGGACUACAUGGUGAAAUAAUUUUCUAUUCUAUUAAGAAUUUCCUUUAAACCGUAAAGAAGAACUGUUAUAUAUAAAAACCUAUUUGAGAGAAUAUUUUGCUAUCAAUUCAAUACCUAUUUAUAAAUUGCCUAUGUAUUUUAUACCCAAUUCCAUUCAAUAUGAUUGAUGGUUGAUGUAUUAUCAAUUUCGAUUGUGAUAAAUUACAAUUUCAACAAUGAAGUGAAUGCUACUUACUUUCAAAAAAAAAAGCUAUCCCAAUCUACAAGAGUUAUUAUUAAAAGAUAGUCCAGUUUAUAAGGAGAGAGAGAGAUCAGUUUAAUGUUUUAUGACAAACAAGAAUUUAUAUUUGAUAUGAAGGUUCGAGUAUACAUAUAUCCAAGAGUUGACCGUGAAAAACAAGCUACAAAUAGGCAGCAGUUUGUGAAGACACGAAAACGGUCUGUAGAGUCAGGACCCCAAGUUUGGGCGCCAUACCAUGCAGAGGUAUAUUACGGGCAAAUGAAGAAAACUUACAUACUAUCUGUUUUCAUCAAAAGCUUAUGCUUGAUUAAGAAAGAAAAGCUAAAGUAUCAGAAAUGAGUCGAAAACAGCGAUGUACAUUUUUGAAACGACUGAUUAUCAAACUGGAGAAUUCCUAAAAAAUACAUAUCGGUUUGUCUUUAAAUUCUAAAAGUUCUUCUCCUAACGAUGUUAAGUUUAUAAAAUUUAAGUAAGAAGCAAAGUAACGUUUUUACGAUUUGUAUCGAAUUACUAAACUCACCUGAGAGUCUUAAAUCAACCUCGUUAUUUACUCUCCCUUUACACCAGCUAGAAUACACUCUAAUAAAUAUUUGACUAACUCCUGGAACGUACAGAAGUCGCCAAAGGAGAUUUAAAUUCCCUAUUUACGUAACACUUUUUCAGCACAAAGAUGUAAUGAUAUCCAAAACUAUCACGUAAAUAUCUUUUAGAAAAAAAAAAAAACGAUGUAAAAUGUUGUUUGUUGAUGGGAGGUCAGCCACUCUGCGACUCAUCCUAUGAGUGUUGCACUCGGGUGGGUUCACCAAGCUAUCGAUUCGCGCGAGAGAGAAAGAGCGAGAGAGAGAGAGAGAAGGCUGCAGCUGCGGAAGAGGAGCAGGGAGAGACUGAACUGGCCGCCGUCCGUCUAUAAAUAGCAAUCAAUGCGCAAAGACCCCGCGCAGAGCGAGGGCGCCGGCAUUGACGACAAGAGGAUGCGGCGAUGGCGGCAACGUCGUAGGUAAGGAGAACGAACUCUCAGUAGCCACAAGUCACCCCUGCUUCCUCAACCUUUCCUGUCCCUUGCGCAGCCCAGGGCCGAGGAGGACAUUGGCUCCAGACACGAAACAUCGAUCCCGCCCUACCGUGCGUGACGCGAUCCAUUUGCUGAAUGAACCGUCUGGCCGGAAAUAGUAAAAUAGAUUUUUUUACGCUAAUAUUCCUUCAUUGAUAGCGAGAGCUUCCGCAUUGACGUGGCACGCUCGACCCGUGUCUUGAUUAAUUCGGCGUUUGGCAUCCAAACCUAGUUUCUUCGUGUUUAGGCCUAUUUUGUACGGCAUUAAGCAAACCUGCUCGAGGUCUAUUAUUGCAUUUCAUUCCUCAUUGAUGAAGAUGUAAACGAUCUUUACUUAUAAAGAGAUUAGGAUAGGAAAACCAGUAAGAUAUACAAUUUAAAAGAAUACAAUAAACAUAUUGUCAUUAAAAAGAAAAAUAUUCGGAAUUUAGAAUAUAAUGAAAAAGAGAAGAAAGAUCGAAAGGAAAGAUAAGCGAAAAAAGGUGAAGGACCUGAAGACUAUAUUUGGGAUUCAUGUGGCAUCGAUUGUGGGGGCGGAACUUUAAUUCCAGCGAGGCGCACUCUGUGGACAUAGUCUGUUUUAAAUAUGGGUGGAUCCAAACGGAUCAUGGUGAAAUAAAUCCAGUUAUUUAAUAAUUACUUUAACUAUUUUUUUACAAAUCGAUUAGGAUUACAACAAGCUAUUAGUGGAAAUAUUUCCAAUCAUUUUUGAAUCGCUUUCUUAGUUCUUAGACCGUCUUAAAAAAAAAAAAGUUUCUUAAAGUCUUAAUUCAAAUAUAGCCCAACCUUCCGAGGAUUUUUUAUUAGAUUCUGGAUUUUCCCGAGGAUAUCAAUUUCAACAGAAGAGUAGAACCAACGAUAGGCGUGUCCGGAAUAUAAGCUAUCUGUAGCAAGGAUCAUAUGUCCGAACUACAGGGAAGUUCCAAUUAUCCAGGGGAUGACAGCACCACGAAGUGACUCAGGUCCAAGUCGGGCUAAUUUUAGUCGGUCCGUGAAUGGCGCUAUUUGCAGAGCACCAGGGGGACCGCGCGAGGAAACCCGAGGCGCCCGCUCCAUACAAGGCUCCUGCUAUAUUUAAAACAAGCAGGCGACGAGCCCCUCCCCCCUAAAAUUAACCCCCUCCCGUCCGCCCCUCACGAUAACAAUUUAACGCCGGAUGGAGGAGUCGCAAGGAUGUGGACGAUGCUAAGCUUUAGCUGGUUGAGGAUUGGCCAAGUGUAAGUUCAACCUAUUUGGUCCCCUUCAACCAGCUGUGGUUAGCAUCGAGUAUGUUCUUCGCCCGCCAGGUACGUAUUUCUGGAAUGUGACGCAUGAAACCUGCAUGUAUUGAGAGCAUUCUUUUCUGUAGAGCAUUUUUGAAUCUUAGCAUUUCUAACAACGCACUUUUAAGGGAAAAAAAAAAAGCCUUUUAGAUAUUUUUAUAUUUUUCUAUUUCAAGUUACCUCUAUAUUUUUUCUUUUAUAUAUUUCAACCUCUUUUUUUUACUAAAUAAUUUAGUUAUAUAUAUUCAGGAUCAUUUAAGCCCGUUUAUAACAUUUCGGGAUGAAUAGUAAUUCGUUUAUGAUCAUAAAACAUGGGUAUCCUUUAAAUCGAGGGAAUAUUUUUAAAAAUUAAUCGCAUCAUUCAUACUAGGUGAGCAAAAUGGCUUAAUAUUCCUUCCGUAUAUCACAACUCUCGCGAUGGGAAUGAGGAAGCGAACAAACUUUGUUCAGAGAUUGUGUUAACAUUUUGUUCGUAACAUCUCGUAAUGCCCUCCGUUGCCGGUUCAAUUAUGUGUUUAAUUAAUAGGUAUGUUCUUUUUAUAAGCUACUUCUCGGGAUAGUUAAAAGUUUGAAGAAGGUUUUAGCUGUUUUUUUUUUUAGGUGCACGUAACCCGGACGAUACUUUAAAAUUACCAAAGAGAUGCUUUCUUAUGCCAUUUUAUUUGCUCGCAUAAGUUCGGCGGCCCGAGUAUGUGGCCAAAAAACACUGGAACGUCUACAUAUAUAAACGAAUAUAUAGAAUUUUUGUUGUUUUUAACACAAAUUUAACUUGGAUAUUUUUGCUUAAAAAAAGUCAAAACACGCAUUAAAUUUAAAUUAUAUCGAUACAUUAAAAAAAUACGGCAUUAUUAACUCAUUUACAUAUUUAAAAUAUCUAUUAGUGGUAUGAAGUUUGCUUUCAGAGUUUAUUUUUAAUACAAACACCUUCGUUAUAAAUAAAUAUACAUUUGGAAUGAGAGAGAGAUUUUUACAGUGCGAAUAAACACCGGAUGCGUGUAUGUUUUCUAGGCAAAUAAAGUCAAAGCACAGACAAGUGCAGGCAAUCGGUCGAAUAAACAUGUAGGCAGAACCUAUACCGAUGUAUAUCUCAGUGUUAAAAGUGUUCAGCUGGUGCAAUUCAAAGUUUUGAGCAUAGUGGCAACUCUCUUGAAACUCGUUGUCGCUAGAAAUAGAGACGAAAAAAAAAGUGUUUUAAAAUCAAAAAAGAACCACUGAAGUACUCUUAUGACCAUUUCAGAUUGAUUAAAUAGUGGAGCAUUGAGAUAACUAUUACAUGUUUCUUAAAUAAAGUUACGUUCGAAUGUUAGAAACACGAUCCUUAAAUUUAUAUCUUUUAUAUAUUCAAUUUAAUCACAUAGAUAAAAACACAGUCGAGUUAAAGUGUUUGACCAAUGCAGAAUUCGUUGAGAAAACGUUGACUAGCUCAGAAUUAUAACAUAAUGUUGCGGGAAGAAUAUAUUCAUGUACCUAGAGGGGCACCUCUCCCUUUUUAAUAAUCCCGAAAUCAUGACAUCCCAUUAGGCAUUUUGUCUGGAUUUGCCAAAACUGGUGUGUUAUGCAUGCUUCAUUCUUUAACAUCACUAGUAAGGUUUUUCACUAGGGUGAUGUACAGUGCCAUCGUUCUGGUGUACAAUUAAAGGGAGUUGUGCCUUUUUUGGUGCACAUACACAUAUACAUUAAAUAUCUGUUGUGUGAAUCCAUAAAAUUCAACAUUUAAAUAAAAACGACACAUCUUGUAUUGCAAAAACAAACUGCGUUUAUUGCAUGAUAUUUCGACGAUCAGAAUGUUCGUCUUUUUUUCAAACGCUUCCUUCUCGCCACAAAUGUUAUUAUGUUUGCAAAUAAACACAGUUUAUAUCGUGAAGUUGCAUGAAAGAUAGAAAGGAGGGGGAGAAACAAGUGACUUAUGGCCAUCAGCAAUUAAUUUAAUGGUUGCGAGCUUGCAUGGUCCAGUUGCGUGCUUUAGUGGAUGGAGCUUGGUUUCAUUCGAAAAAAAAAAAAACAAUUUAUUACUUUCAUGAUAAUGUGAGACGGCAAUAUCAAGCGGUGCUUUUAAACGCUUUGAGGCGAUCCCUAAAUGCCAAAAAACAGCGGUUAGGCAGCAAUUACUUUGGUUGAGGACAAUGGUGUUUGUUAUUGAUACCACAUUAUAGCGACCAUAACAAAGUAAGCGUAAUUUGCUAGUUUUACCCUCAGUUCAAGCCAAGUUUUGAUGAUGGCUACUUUAGACAUUCUAGAAGGUAGCGUCAUCUAGACAGCCUCCAUUAUGCAUGCCUUUUAUAGAAAACUUAUCACCAUGUGCUAGAAAAGAGUUUUGCCUGUUAAAUAUAAGCUAGUUAAUUUCGCGUGUGCUGUGAAAAGUUUUGAAUGGUCAACGAAUUAGUUUCUGAGAAUAAAUAACAACUUAUGCUUGAAACCUGGAACAAAAUAGCAUGCAUGUUGUUUGUUGUAAAGAUUCUUCCCUGCUUUUACACUUUGAUUUAAUCAAUAAGGAAUCUAGGGUUUCUUUUCUUAUUUAUUUUAUUUCUCAAGCUUUCGGGCUAACAUACCCCUAAACACGGGAGAUCCUGAAGAAGAUAGAAAAGAAGUUGUACGUCAGGAUCUCCGUGUUGGAGGGCAUGUUGGUCCGAAAUCUCGAGAAAUAAAAGAAAUAAUAAAAGAAACGAAACCCUUGAUUCCUUAUUGUUUGAUUCAAAAUGCUGUUUGUUGAUUAAUAUUAACUCUCUGUAUGCAUCUUCCAUCAAUGUUAAUUCCACAAGCAGCAAGUGCAUACAGCAUUCAUUCCAUCCCGACAGUAUUCGCGAUGUAAGAACAUUUGAGAG